UUUGUUCAGCUUAUUCCAAGCAAUUGGAUGUUAGUAUCUGGAGUCCGCUGAAUUAGUCCAUUGGUGCAAAAAUGAGAUACAAUGGGAUAUGGUGGAAUAGAACACUGACUCAGUGAAUAAAAGCUUUUGUGGGAAACUACUUUUUGAAGUGAAAAUACUUUCACCUAUGUGCAACCGUGAAACAGCUUGUUUUAAAGGAUAAUUCUCUGCAUUAUCAGAUUAUUUCUUCAAUAAGGAUUGGACUCAAUGACCUCUAAAAUAUUUUACAAGUUUAUAUCUAUAAUUGUGUGAUUUUAAGAUCCUUUUAUUAGAGGAUGGUUCUAAAGGUGCAAUGUGUCUUGACUUCCUAUGUUUCUUAGAUGUAUAUGUGUGCUUAUCAAUUCUGCAUAUCUACUUUUCCUGCUAAGGCUAUGUGUAUUUGUGGAAUAGUAUGCACUAGAUUUGUGGGGUAGAUGCUGAGAAAUUAGUGCUCUAUGUCAUUUCAAUAAACAACUUUACUUGGUGUUAA